rnacentral:rRNA from 1 species
GACGAACGCUGGCGGCGUGCUUUAGGCAUGCAAGUCGAACGCGAAAGCCCCUUCGGGGGUGAGUAGAGUGGCGAACGGGUGAGUAACACGUGGGUAACCUGCCCCUCGCAGGGGGAUAACCGGGGGAAACCCCGGCUAAUACCCCGUACGCUUGCUGGGGCGCAUGCUCCGGCAAGGAAAGGUAGCUUCGGCCAUCCGGCGAGGGAGGGGCCCGCGGCCCAUUAGCUAGUUGGUGGGGUAACGGCCCACCAAGGCGACGAUGGGUAGCUGGCCUGAGAGGGUGAUCAGCCACACUGGGACUGAGACACGGCCCAGACUCCUACGGGAGGCAGCAGCAAGGAAUCUUGCGCAAUGGGCGAAAGCCUGACGGAGCAACGCCGCGUGGGCGAUGAAGGCCUUCGGGUCGUAAAGCCCUGUUGUCGGGGACGAAGGGCGAAGGGUUAAUAGCCCCUAGCCUGACGGUACCCGACGAGGAAGGCCCGGCUAACUACGUG